UACGUAGGCAGCAAGCGUUGUUCGGAGUUACUGGGCGUAAAGGGUGCGUAGGCGGCUCUGUAAGUAUGGUGUGAAAUCUCCCGGCUUAACUGGGAGGGUGCGCUAUAGACUGCGGGGCUCGAGUGUGGGAGAGGAAAGUGGAAUUCCUGGUGUAGCGGUGAAAUGCGUAGAUAUCAGGAGGAACACCGGUGGUGUAAACGGCUUUCUGGACCAUAACUGACGCUGAGGCACGAAAGCGUGGGGUAGCAAACAGG
rnacentral:rRNA from 1 species